rnacentral:rRNA from 1 species
CUACGGAGGAUCCGAGCGUUAUCCGGAUUUAUUGGGUUUAAAGGGUGCGCAGGCGGCCAUUUAAGUCAGCGGUUAAAUCGUGGGGCUCAACCCCAUUCUGCCGUUGAUACUGGGUGGCUUGAUUGCGGUCGAGGUUGGCGGAAUUCGUUGUGUAGCGGUGAAAUGCAUAGAUAUUACACAGAACGCCGAUUGUGAAGACACCUCACGAAGCGGUAACUGACGCUGAGGCACGAAAGCGUGGGGAUCGAACAGGAUUAGAUACCCUGGUAGUCCACGCAGUAAACGAUGAUGACUAACCGUCGGCGAUAGACCGCCGGUGGCCAAGCGAAAGCGAUAAGUAUUCCACCUGGGGAGUACGCCGGCAACGGUGAAACUCAAAGGAAUUGGCGGGG